AGCAAAGUGAUGAGAAUCUAUUAGCUGAAUUAUAUGUUGAAUUUACAUAUAUAGCCUUCAAAGUUCUCUGAUUGCA
rfam:Nicotiana sylvestris Nsyl_contig163576, whole genome shotgun sequence.